AUUGAACGCUGGCGGCAUGCCUAACACAUGCAAGUCGAGCGGAGCGGCGGACGGGUGAGUGCUGCCUGGGAAUCUGCCUGGUAGUGGGGGAUAACGUCCGGAAACGGGCGCUAAUACCGCAUACUAUCAGAUGAGCCUAGGGCGUCUUAGCUGGUUGGUGGGGUAAAGGCCUACCAGGGAGACGAUCCGAAACUGGUCUGAGAGGAUGAUCAGUCACACUGGAACUGAGAAACGGUCCAGACUCCUACGGGAGGCAGCAGUGGGGAAUAUUGGACAAUGGGCGAAAGCCUGAUCGAGCCAUGCCGCGUGUGUGAAGAAGGUUUUCGGAUUGUAAAGCACUUUAAGUUGGGAAGCGGUACCAACAGAAUAAGCACCGGCUAACUUCGUGCCAGCAGCCGCGGUAAUUC
rnacentral:rRNA from 1 species